CGUGUAGGUCACUCAGUCUCUCUUUAAUCUGACACACAUCAACUGUGUGCUUUGUAUUCUGUUAUCUUACCGCUGGCUUGUUUGUGUGUGUGCGCCCACAGCCAGACAGAGGACAUAAAUCCUGUUGGCUGUCUGGAGCGACUGACCCUUUUUACACAUCCUGGCUGUGCAAAAGAGUCGAACCGAGAGGAACACUGUGCCUUUAAAGAGAUUUUAUUUUUGACUGAGUGUCCUGCUGGUCAGCACAAGUAAACCCAUCUGAGGGAGGACACAUGCUCUUUGUCCUGUCGUGUACUGUCUUGGCCAUGUAUGUGUUGCAUGGGGACUGAUGACAACAUGUUCCCUACAGACCCGUCACUGCUUUCAGCAGAGAGAAACAGGAAAUGCUCUGGCUUCAGGCCUGCCAACCGGCCUUUCAGAGAAAACAGACCCAGACUGUUGGUGAAGAAGACAGAAAGUGGUCUCACACACAAACAUUAUUUAUGUCAACCACCUUGCAUGUACUUGACAGCUUAAUGAAGCCAAAUUUAUGAGUAUACUGUAGGUUUUGAAGUGAAUAGGCUCACAUAAUUCAACAAGUUUAUAAGGCUCAAUCAGGGCAGGUCUGCAGAACAAUUUUUCUUUAUAUAUUAGUGAAGGCUCCAAGCAUUCAAAAAAUAAGCUGUGAGAAGAGAUAAUCAGUCUGAUUAAGUUUUCCUUCAGGAUCAUUAUCCGUGACAAUCACUCACUGUCAAAACUAAGUACAGCAAACUUUUCUCAUCCUACAUAAUAACUACAAAUUAAACAAUUCAAUGUCUAGUUUCAUUGUACAGGCUAGCUACAGGAAAGCACUUCUGUGCAAAGCGCACGUUUUCCCAGUAUGAAUCUUGAAGUAGAAGACAGGACUGUUUACAUGAACCCUAAUAAUUCGUUUUUAAUCAGAC